UGUUAUAACGACAGCGACUACUCGCGUAUAUAUAUACACACAGACGAUAAAGGGUCGGUGGUGUAACGUGGCGGUGGAAUCUGCAGUAAAACCGGCCGUCGUCUUCGAACUGGCCCCGUUGGCUCGUAAAAUUAAUGAAGCACGCAAUGACCCAUUAUAUAGAACGCGUUAUUACUGGCAGCAAAACGAAAUUGAGAUUAUUUACCGUAGAGUGUUGUUAUCUUAUGGACAAUAUUGUAUUGAUCCCAUCAACGUCACGUUAAAAUUAUAGAAGUCUACAAGAAUAUAUACAAAACUUUAUAUUGCAUUAACGCCGCCGUAUUUAAGUGGAGUAUCGUGGAAUCACAACACUCAAAAUAUUCAAGACUCUCGACACAAAAUAAUUAUGUUAACCAUGAUUAUCCACCGUUUGGCUUAAUCGAACGACAAAUAAAGGUUUAACCGCUCAUUUUAUUCCAUUACAAUGGCGCUCUUCUAAAUCUAAAAACAAUCGAUUGCAAACACCGGAAAACUACGUUUUCCGAAUAAACUUGUACACCAUAAAAGUUGUCAAUUUAUAUGUUCUUUGUCUCCGAAAGGUCCGAAGGUCUGCACAUAAAACGUAAACCUUUCGGUCUUCUCUGCGGCGUUGCGAUGGAGCGAAAAAACCACGAAAUACUAUGAGAUCCAGAAAGUUUGAAGGUCGACCAUGAUGUGUCACACACUCUAAAAUAAUUCUCUACUUUUUCUGAAACACUGGAAAACAGCACACGUAAAAAGUAAAUUACCGUGACAAUGACCAAUGGAAUAAUGAGUCAGUCAUUUCAUGAUUUUUAUCAGCAACAAAAAAUAUGUAUUAGAGUAUAAUUAUUUUACAAAAUAAAUAUUAUAUGAAUUGGGCUUCUACUAAAUUCAUUCACUCGAAUAAAAUACUAUAACUAUUAUUCAGUCAGUCAGGUAAUUAUGUACAAUUUAAUAUACUAUUGAUAUAAUGUUGUAAUAAUCUCAUGUAAACUGUUAAAAGAAGCAAUAAAAAUAACUCAUGAGAAAAAUUGAUUUGAUUUCGUUUUGUUUAUUAACUGCAUAAUAAUCAUUAUAAAUACUAUCGUUGAUAUAAUUAAAGUUGUGGAACCUUCGAAUUGCACACAGGAAAGGAAAUAGAA